UACGUAGGGCGCAAGCGUUGUCCGGAAUUAUUGGGCGUAAAGAGCUCGUAGGCGGCCUGUUACGUCUGCUGUGAAAUCCCGGGGCUUAACCCCGGGCGUGCAGUGGAUACGGGCAGGCUGGAGGCAGGCAGGGGAGAACGGAAUUCCCGGUGUAGCGGUGAAAUGCGCAGAUAUCGGGAGGAACACCGGUGGCGAAGGCGGGUCUCUGGGCCGAUACUGACGCUGAGGAGCGAAAGCGUGGGGAGUGAACAGG
rnacentral:rRNA from 1 species